CUCUCUCUCUCUCGACUGUUCUACUUCUUAGCAGCGUGGACCUUAGAAAUGCUCCGAAAACCUGUAAGUGCUUUUUUCUCUCUCUGCUUUUACAUUUGUACUUGGGCGCAAUAGCUUUAGCUCAACCUCAAAACAAAUUUCAAUGAUUGCUAUUACUUCAUAAUCUGAUUUGUCAAGGCAUGUGAUGUGGUGAAAAUUGUACUUCUUAAGGGUAGAGAUUUGGGCAAUUGUCUUUGAAGUCUUCAUUUUUUUUCUUUGAACUGUGUCUUUGAAUGAAUCUUCAAAUUCUGAAAGUGCUCGAAUUUUUUAUUAUAAAUGUUAUAUUAAUUGUCUGAAAAUUUGUAUGCAAUACAAGAUGGGUUUUGUCAUGGUUCUUGAUGGUUUGCAUUUCCAAUGAUGUUAUAAUUGAAACAACUCAGUUUCAAUCAUCAGUGGAAGUGAAUUAGUUUACUUUUAAUCAUUGCUAUUGACCAAAUAAAAAUAGUAGAAACCAUUCGUAACAAUAUCGUGUACUAUUUCGUUCAUGGUAGGAUCUCGUUAGGGGAUUUCAUUACCUCAUUGACCAUGCUAGAGGAACUUUUAUAUCCACAACUUCAGCCAACCAAACUAAGCUUAUUGUUGGAAACUAACAAAUAAGUAAAAGCCGAAAUCUUUUUAUUGCCCUGCCUGCACUUUAUGAAAGCCACCGUGGUUUUUUUUAUUCAUUAGGUCAUUUAAUUCUUGGAAAGUAAAUCCUAUUAUUUGAAGGAUUUUUUUUACUUUAAGAAAUACCUUGUGCAAACUGCAAACAGUCUGUACUGUUGAAAGCUCACCUCUAUUUACAGAGUUGAAAGAGAUGAUGUUUGUGCAGCUAGAAAUACAUUGUGUGAAGUAAAAUACAAAUCGAAGAUGAGAUGAAAACUCUAUGAAUUAAGAGUGCAUUUUGAGUCUCAAAGACAGACAUACAUUGUGUGAAGUAAAAUACCACGAAUAGUCUUUGGUCUUCUAGAGACCUCAUCAAUAUUCAAUAAUCCCAUUGAAGAGUUUGUGAGGUUGCCUCACCAAAGUAAUGUAUUAGUCGGCUCUUUUAAUAGAAGCUCUUCUAGAUUUUAAAAUAUGCCAUAUCACAUUUUGUUAUACUAAUCGAUGUUUUAGAAAGCCAAUAUCUUCCCAGUCUAUGCAUGACCUCGUUCUGCUACAUUCAUGAGAUUCUACAGUUUAGGGAGUUUGCUGUGAUCCUGGUCUUGUUUAUCCAGUUAACUUGUAUCCAUGGGACUUGACUAACAAAGGUUUCCGAACUCUGAUUAUUAAGUUGCAGAGAAAACAGUUUUUUUAGUAAAGAGGAUGAACAAAAGAAAAAGGACCUUUGUCCACCUGCUUCGCUUAGCUCUCUCAAGUAAAUUAUCAUUGCUCGUGGGAGAGGCCAUUGCCAUAGGUUCCUCCACAAGAAGAGUUGAAGAUGGUGCAACAUCAGAUCCCAUUACCUUACUUCGAAUGGAAUUUUAGCCCAUGAAUUUUAAUUUUCUAGAGUUUGUGGCCUUUUUUCCUUACUAGAUUCCGCAUAUAUUUUCUUCUUUAUGCCCCCCUCUGAAGUUGAAUAUGUGUGUGAGUGGUGCAGGCAAUACUCUUCUGUCAAUUGUGGUCACUUCAUAUAGUUGAAUCAUUUAUUGUGAUAUCCUUUGGCCCAGUCUGGUUUCUAGGAUUCAUCUUGGCUAUCUAACAUCCUGAAAUCAUUUUAUAAUAUCUUCCACGGUUUACCAAGGAUUUACCUGCAUCUUUUUCCAUGUACUUAUUUUAGCUGUGAAAGUAUUUGUUCAUUUAUUUAUUUUUCCGUCAGUUAAAAAUCUUUUAGUUAAUAUAACUCUGACUUUGCAAGGGGUCAAAAAGGAGACAGUCAAGACAUUAUUGGAUAGGAGAAAAUUUGAAAAUCCUUUUAUUAGCGAAUUUGAUUUAUAAAAUGUAUUCCAUUUCACAAUUCUAGGGUAGAACUAAUUGUAAUGAAAUUUGACAAGAAAAUAGACAGCUAUAAGGCAAGUCAGGGAUGACGGAGAAUUAGUUUUUUUGUUUAAGGUUAUUAUUGAUUGUUAUAAAAUGCUCAAUAUUCAGUAGCACUUCAAAAUAGUCAUCCUGCUCUCCUUCCUUCCCUUGUUUUUUUUUUUAAAAAAAUUAGAAAGGAGUGCAUGAUGACUAUUUUGGAGUGCCAAUAACAGCUCCCAUAUUAAGUAUAAAUUUUCAUCUCAUGGAUAAAAAGACGUGAUGAUCAUUGAUCUGGUAGGUAGUUUGGGAUCACGAACAAUGAUACUAACUGAAAAAGUAAACUUAGCUAUGAAUUCCACCCAACAGAUAAAGAUAUGGUGAUAAGUUAGGGAUCAUUGACCAGUCUGGCUAUAGAAUUAUAAACUUUUAUUACUGGAGUAUUUUCUGGUGGUUUGGUGCUUGAAGCUUCAUGUUCCUUUCAAUUAUUGAAGUAUAUAAUGAAAUAUCAUUUCCUUCCACAAAAUUCAUGCCGAUUUUCUGGUGAAAGUUUGAAUAUCGUUUGUCACUCCAGAAAAUUAAUAGGGUUGUACUGUACAUAUUCAUACCCAUUUUAAGAGGGAGCCUGAGGUUGGUUUAGAAUGGACGUAAUGCCAUUAUGGCUAGGUGAAUAGAGAUCAAUUGACUAAUGACAAAGAAAGUUCCAUUCUCAGUGCUCCAUAAGCUGUAUGAUCCCAUUUGUGUAUUGAUGUUGUUUGUUGAAUAUCAUUUUGUCUUUCCAGAAAACAAGUUAACUAUUUUGAAAAAGAUUUUAUUUCUUAUAAUACCUGAUACUGAUGACACUCUCUUUGCAUAGAUUUAUCUAAAUCUAGAUUGUUUAUGACACCUUAAAAUUGGAUCACAUAACUAAAAUAUGUGGCUUUUGCCUUCAUUAGGUGUUUGAUCAACAGGGAAAUUGAUUGAAUUGUCUGCAACAUAUGAUGAUAAGUAUUAAAAUCAUCAUCAUCAUAAUCACCUUGGUGAAUUAAGUGUGUAGGCAGUCUUGAUGAUUUUAUAUUAUGACUAAUUAAGAUGUCAUCACUGAAAUGAUUUCCAUGAAUAUUGCUGACAUGGAAGUACCUUGUACAGCUAUACAAUUGAUAUGCGUUGUACCAAGUGAUUUGUUAAUGGGUACCUUAAGUUAUAUCCUUUUCUCAUUUCCUUGGAUGAAAAUGAUGAUGGCAAUGAGAUGGUUCCCAUUGAAAAUGUUGGUGUGAAUGAACUACUGUUGAUGCUACAGUAGCUAUAUUUACUUGAUGAGGGUUCCAUCUUGUGAUAAUGCUAUCGACCUUAGUCAAGAAUGAUGUUGAUGGUGCCAUGUGAGCAUCUAGUACAAUUCUGGUGUUACUUGUGACAUUAUUUUUCAGUGUCAAUUAGACGAUUCCGUUGUCUAUGACAUGGGAACGUGAUGUGAUGAUCUUAUGUCCUUUUCCCCGUUGGUGGAUGGUAAAGUUUGGUGAUAGACAUCAGACCCAAAAAAAAAAAGAGGCUUGGUGACAGACAAGAACAUCCCGAUAAAUCGUGUCAAAUGUACAAAGAAUUACACAUUUCAAUUAUGAUGGGGUUGAUUUUCAUGAUUAUUACAUGGUUUUUUUUUGUUCUCUUUUUGAUAUACUUGCAUAAUGUGUUGUAGACAUAUUGCUUAAUGCUAGCUAGUACGAUAAUAAUAACACAAACAUAACCUAGUUCCAGCUGCCCUACAUUACAUGAGUAACAAUCCUUUUAGCUUUGUCACUGCAACAGAAAAUGACUGAUGCUAUAGUUGGAAUUUUCAUCGAACAUACUGCAUUUUUAAUGGAACUCAAGGAAGCCUUACGUGCUUGGGUUGGUCUGAAUGAAUCUAUUAUAGUUUCUUAUCAAUCAAGCAUCUUAUUCACACAGCCACCACACACUUCUUUUAGAACUUCGAUAUUGAAUAAGAUCAACAAUUUGUACCAGUCCAUUUGAUAGUCUUUGUUGAAUGUGUACUCUGUCAUAAAACUUAAGCUCCAUUUGGUGCUAUUUGAGUGCUUACAAAUUUCCUUUAUGCUGCAACGAACAGCUAGAUGAUAUUUCUGGGGAAAUUGGAAGCAUGCAGAAGUUGUCCCUGAAGGUGAAGGACAUACUGGUCGGAAUCUUUUAGACUCGCGUAAUUUCGGGUCAUUCCUACUGGGUGGUGCCCUAUUGGAGGACAGUUUUGUUUGUCCUUAAUGAAAUGUCACAUUUGGGGCCAUUGGCCCACCGGCAAAACCAAAUUGGCUUUACAAUUUGCUAGCAAUCGAGGGAAGUAGGCUGUACCUUGCUAGGCCUUCCCAAGCUCCCAAAACCACAACCAGUCACUCAAGCCUUCUGCCCUUCGAUUUGCUUUGCUGCCUGCCUUCUAAUGCCCUCCAAUCAAUGGCACCUUUGAUUUAACUCAGCCAACCAGAUUUAUGACACGUGGCUCUUUUGUGGCCACUGCUAGUGACCUCCCAUGUGAUGAUGUGAAGCAAUAUGCAGGCCCAAUCAUCAGAGGAACAAAGCCAGGUCGCAUCAGAUGGAUUGAACAAAUUUCCUUAUCAACGGUGUUUGAUAGAGAAAUUUGAUGUGUAGAAACUCAUUGGUUUAAUAUGUUUUGUGUUAAUUCAAAUUUUCCUCUUUCAUGUCAAAAAUACAAAAAUCCUAAUUGAAAAUUGGACAAUACAAUGAUAAAGUUAGAAAAAAUGGACAAGAGUAGCAAAGUUUUGAAGUAGCAAUCUUUAUAUUGAAGUGUUAGGUAAGUUGGAAAUGGUUCUCCUUUUAUUGUUCUAUCAUUUGAAACACUUUUAAGUUUGCAAAUUUUAGACAUCAAUAGAUGAUUAUGUUGUCUGUGGAAGAGGGAGGAUUUGAACCUAGGACCUCUUCUGACAUUAGGAGAAAAAGUACCACUAGAUUAACAUGUUAGAUGGAUGAUAAUAUAGUAUGAACGAUGUACAUAAUAUAUUUUCUUAUAAAUGCCUAAGUUUUAUUAGCUUUGGACGAAGUUACAAUAAUAGUAAUAACAUAUCCCUCAUCUUAUGUUAGGGUAAUAUAAAAAAAGUUUACCCCAUUCCAAUAUAGAUAAUCAAAGUCGUCCUUAAAAAUUACAAGGAGUAGAUAUAUGAUAGGUUACUUCUAGAGAGAGAAAGGCCCCAUUUUAAAACAAGAGGGCUUUAAAUUGGGUUUUAGGGAGGUAAAAUGAGUAAGUUGGUGAAGGCAUCUUCAAUUAGAAGCCCACAAGUCUUAUUUGAGAUUGUUAUUCUUCCCAAAAUCUGACUGGUAAUCCAUGCCGAGGAACUGGAAAUGGGCCAUACUGAAUCCCACUUUGUGAUCCCUCUACUUCCCACCUGCAACACAAAUCAUAAAAUAUCAACAACAGACCUCUAAUAAUAUGAUCUGAGCAAUGUUUCUGCAUAAUGUUUUUGAUAAUGAUCUAAGUAAGAAUCAAAACUUGUUCAGCAGUAAAUUCCACGUCUAAUCUGAUGCAAAAAGCCUUAAUGAAAAAAGAGAUGUUUGCAUUUUGUACCCGAAUUUGGUCACAAGAUGGUGGACCAAAAUGAGCAUCUCCAGCUUGGCAAGCUCAUUUCCAGGACAAGCAUGCACUCCUUUCCCAAAUGGCAUGAAAGUAUUAGGCUUUGGACCAACCUAUUCACCCACAACCAGAAAAAUAAAUAUAAGGAAAAAAAAUGAAAAUUUGGUAUUUCCAUUGAAUUUGUUAGUGUGAGAGAGAGAGAGAUGCUGAUACUGGCAAAAACCAGCUGAUAUCAGACUCUCUCUGGUUUAAACAAAAAACCACCUUUGUCUGCAACAUAAUACAUACCUCAAACCUAGAUGGGUCAAAAUUCUGAGGAUCAGAGAAGAAUUCUGGAUUGUGAUGUAUGUUCCUGAACAAUGGCAUCACCUUCCAACCCUUUGGUAUAAGAUAUCCUGCAAAAUUGAUUUUUAUAAAUAUUAAAGAAAUUUAUGGACAUAAAUCCUCUUUACUGCUAUCCUGCUAAUUAAAAGGUACAAAAAUGACCAAGGACCCACUAGUGUAGUAGUUUGGAGCAAUUGCUCCUCCAAGAAAGGUUUUGGGUUCGAGUCUUAGCAUCCAUGUUGUGUGUGUGAGUUUAGUAGUUAUCGCCUCUCUCAAUAGGAAAGGUCCUCAAAAGAAAAAGAAAAAAGGCACAGAAAUGAACUUUAAAUCCUCACCUUUGUAUUCUACAUCAACCACAGCUUCCCUGAAUGUGAAAGAUAUGAUACUUGCCAUUCUCAAGCUCUCUAAUAGAACCUGAAAUUCCAUUUAUAUUCAGCUCACAGUUAGUCUAAAUUUCUUGGUGCUGUUUUGCAUUUUGAAUACAAGAGUAGUUAGAGUUGGGCUUACUCUGUAUGUAAGAGGCAUGUUCCUAAUCUGUGCCCAUGUCAAGGGCUUCUUGCAUCCAUCAUUUGCUUCAAAUAUAGCCUUCUGCUCAGCCUGCAAUAAAUAACAGCUUGACAUAAACCAACCUUUCACAUGUACAAUUUGUUUGAAAUUUUGUAAACUUUGCAAGGAACUCUUACCUUCACAGCUUCAAGAAUUUUUGGGUUGUCAUGGAGGUAUUUGAGGAUCCAUGUUAAAGCACUGGCUGUAGUGUCCUGGGCUGCAAACAGAAUUCCAAUGAUGUUAUCUGAAAUUUGAUCCUCAGUUAAAGUUUGCCCCUUUUCAUCUUGGAAGUUCAGCAGAUCACCCAAUAGAUCCUUCUGUAGUGUUUUCUUCUCUUUCCUCUCACAAAUUAUCUGACUCAAAAUCUGACCAAGCCUUUUCCUUGCCUUUGAUAAUUACCCAGAAAGAAGAAACAAAAGUUAGUGUCAGAUUUAAAGUUUAUAAUCCUUCUGUAUGAUUACAUAUAUUAUUUUUAAAGAAAGAAUUACUAUUUCGAUAAAAAAAAAAAAGAGAGAGAAAGAAUUACUAUUGCUUACCAAAAGAGCUUUGUGAUAUGCAGUACCAGGUAUCUUUGUUGGAAAAGAAUUGUAACCCUUGUCUACUAUGCAGUAAUUUUCCUUGAGCCUUUCUCUGUAAGUGUCAUCCAACUGACCAAAGAUGGCAAGGAAGCCAACAUCAAAGGAGAACUGUAGGGGGACACAAUGAGAUCCAUCCAUAUAUUAGAAUAAAAUAUUACUUGAUCCAAACAAAACAGAAGGACCCAUUUCAAAGGAAGUUUUGAGAACAUCAGCAAUAAGACAAACCAAGUUGAACCACCAAUGAUGAAACCAAUAAGUUGAGCCAAAAAGGCAUAAGCAAAAACAUGAGGCUCACAUUAAAAACAUGUUGGGGGUGAAACACUAACCCUUUUCAUUUCAUUAUAGGUGUUAAUGACCUUGCCACCUGCAGCCCAUGACUCCAAGGCAGAAAUGGCUAAUGCUUCAAUGUCAGGAACUAGUUUCUGCAUAGUGGUGGGGUUUGGGGACAGAGAGCUUUGAAUGAGCUUCCUGAGGCUAUUGUGGUAGUCUCCUUGGUGAAAGAACAAAGCUGAAGGACCAAUCAUCUGCUCUUUGCUCUUGGGGUAUGUGGGCUUGAACAAGUAGGCAUGAGUGACCAGCACAAACUUUGUGGCCGCAGGGCUUGCCAGCAUGACACAAGGGCACCCAAGUAUGUGGGUUUUGAAUAUCUCUCCAUACCUGAUGAACACAAAAAAGAAGGGCAAAAUGGAACAAGUUUGGAUCAAAUCCAUGGAGAGGAAACAUUAAUGGAAGAUUAAUAGGAUUCAGAGGUUGAUAAUAGAUUAGAACCUUUUCUGCUUUGAAGCAAAGAAUAUGUUCGGGUCCAUAGAGUACAUUUGUAGAGUCUCUCCUAUGUAAGGCCACCCCAUUGAGCCAGGGGGAAGCUUAGCUUUAUGUUUAGAAUUUCUCUUUUGUUUCUUUAUGAAGUGGUAUAACAACAGACUUGAGAGACAGAGCAAUAUGUGUAUCAAACUAGAAACAAUCUCCAUAAAAAUGUAGCACCUGCUUCUCUCUCUCUCUCUCUCUCUCUCUCUCUCUCUCUCUGAAUUCUAGUAUGUUUCUCUGAUGACUUAGAGGAGUGUAUAUGGUGGAGAUGGAUGGUUGCCAAGGGAAUGCACUCUCAAGUCAAUAUGAGUAUUGAUGAGGGGGUUUGGGGUAUAUAUAGAGUGAAAAAGGAGGUGCCUUGCAACUUGCAAGAGCCAAAAUCUGAUAUGGAUUUAAAGAAAAUAAAUAAAUAAAUCAUUUUCCAAAUCUUUGAAGGGUCUGGACUAAAUUAACACUCUGAAAUGGGGAGUACUAGAAAUUACUCCUUCACAUGAGAACUUUGACUUGUGAGUUUUUGAUACAGAAGCUUCUAUUUAGCAUAAAGUGGAUUAGAUUCCUGAAAGUAUUAGGUAACAUGGAUUUCUUCUUCUUCUUCUUUUUCCUAUCAAAUUUGAUAACUGUAAUAGUUUAUAAAUUGGAUUGUUAUAUCUGCCCCCUUUAAACUCCUGAAAGAAAUAAUUUAUUUCAAUUUUUUGUUCAAGUGAAAGAAAUGGUAUUAAAAUUGGAUUUGUUAUAAAUAAGUUGCAAAUUGGACUGCAUGCUAAAGUCUAAUAAUCUUUGUAAUUGGGUGAUUUAUAUCAUGCAUGGAUUGCCACCUUGAUGUUACUUAUAGAUCAAAGUUUCAAGUGAUGAUGACGAUUUGAACGCAUAACUUUGAGCACAAAGAUAAAUACUUUAAAUCGAAUGAAAGCAUCGAUGAAUGCUCUAAAUCACUCGAGGUACAAAGGUGACUUUUGCAUAGAAAAGUGAAACUUAAUUAUGUGUCAUAUAGGUCGUACUGUUCCCAAAUGUGUAAAAUAUGAGACCUCAUCUAUGCAAACCCUGGGUGGGGAUAUUCAUUGGUCACCUACUUUACUGACAGGUGGUGAUUUCCUUACCUCCAAGUUUGUAUCCCAGUCUUUAGCCGUUCAUUUGUCUCAAUCAUUACUUUCAUUAUACAUCUUCGAUUUCUAUCAAAAGGAAAAUUAUACGUGAAUAACAGAAAUUCAAAUUUGGAACAUCCAAAUAUAUAAGAGGCUUUAUUAUACUUGUACUCAAACCUCACAUUGCUCAUCAGAAGUCCCAAUGACUCACUUUGCCUUCUUGAACAACAUUUUGCAUUUUAGUUUGUCAUCAUUGUUAAGUCCGUCAAUAUUGAUGAUGUGCCACAUGUGUAAGUCCUCUAACUUUCUACCACGUAAGGGCCGUAUCAGUAUGUUUGAUGAAGUUUUUGAGGGAAUUGAUGUGGGUAAGUGAGACAACAAACGUUGGUCAAAAACAAAAUGAAUCAUUAUGACUUCCGGAGAAACCAUGUAGGGUUUAAUUAUACUUUAAGUUUAAAGGAGCACUACAACAAUUAAGUUUAGAUAACAAAAAAAGUUUCGUCAAGACUGUUAGCUGUUUUGAUUUCACUUGUCUCGCACCACACCACAAACAGCUUUUAAUUUCCUUUAAUCUCAUUUCCAGAAAGGACUCCAAACCCUACUUUCAAUUUUAUAACCAAAAACCUUUACUCCAAUAGAUACAAAACCGCACGCCUCAGAAGAAGGUAACAUAUAACUUUGCGAUUCAAGAUUACAGAAAUCUUGUAUACCAAUUCAUUUUUUUUGUUUCUGGUACCAUUUUUUCAAGUUUUGUAAGCCAAAGAAAACUAUAAGGUAACAUAUAACAUUGCCAAGGAGUAAAUUGUAAUCGAAAAGACACUCUAGCUUUAUCUAAUUUGUGAAAAAUGACAGGGAAAUCACAUUGUGUGUCACUUCAAAACUAUUUACAUUGGUGAGUCCUACAUAUAGUAGAGAUGCGCUUAAUAUGGUACAGUAAUGUGAUCUCCCUAGCAAUAUUCCUCGGGCAAAAGUUAUUUAGUGUAAUUCCACUUAAGUUGGGAAAACGUCCACAAACAAUAAAUCAAAAUAAACCUAUACAGUUCUCCCUCACAAUCGUCAUAUGUAAGUAGCAGAUGUUAAAAACAAUAGAUCCCUCUUCUCUAUCUCCAUCUCUUCCAAAAAUUAAUCAAAUCCUCAUAAAUAAAUAAAAACUCAAAACUUCCAUGUGGGUACUUAGUACUUGCGAAUAUCACAAAAAGUAACAAAACAAAAACCCAUUUCGCAGAUUAAAUAAUCUUAUGCAAAAUGAAGUAGAGCCUUUCUUUUUUUGCUUGUUUUUGGGUUGAAGAGGGUACGUUGGCUUACGGGUUCUACGUAUGACGAUGCAUUACAGCUCAUACACUCCCCAAAUUAGGAUUUCCCUGGGAUCCGCAAGCCUGUCAGUGGUCCCCACCUGUGGGUCGGUGAUGUGUACGGUUAAUGCCGACGUGGAAUCUUCGCGAGUGCGCGACGUCAACAAUCAAAGGAACAGCAACGUCCGUUUGCAUCCGUCACCGUCAAACGUUAGUAGACACGACACGUGUAGAAAUCUUGGUUGUCCUGAUCGAGAGAGUUCGGGACGAGAUGAGAAAUCACUGGUUCCACGUGGAUGUAGGAGCACUGGGGAACCUACAACUUAGGCAAGCCAACAGUACUGUUUGCCCAUAAGUCGUACGUACACAUUGCUCAAAAUUACAAUAUGAAUACAAAUGCGUGGCGUAUGCAUACACUUUUUUUUUUUGGUUCCAAAUAAUAUUAAUUAAAAAUCAUAUUAGGUAAUAACCACAUUAUACGGUAAGUGAUAUUUGCUUAUUUCGACCGGAGUCGAUCUUGAGAUUUUGAGGGUCAUGUUAAAUGGAACCUCAUAUAAUUUAAUAUGAAAAUACUAUAAAAUAAAAUAAAAGAAUAUUUGUCAUGACUUAAUACCCUAAAAUGACUUUUUUAACAACUAAAAUUCAUCAUCAAUUAGUAUGCAAUGACAAUCAUAAAUUAAAUUCAUAUAAGUUUUAAUGUUUCAAUUUGAGAAAUAGGAAGAGGAAGACGAAGACAUCAACUUUUUUUGUUUCAUUUGAGUGGGUGAAAACAUAUACAAUUUUUUAAAAAAAAUUGGAGAAAGCGUAUAUAUUGUUUUCUAUUGAUAACAAUUAAAAAAUAUAAAAAUACAAGUAUUGAAUGACACAAUCCAAACUCAAACUUGAACUACUUACUAAAAUUGAGGCAUUGAAAACCAACUCAACUAAACAAGCACUUUUGAAAACCAACUCAACUAAACAAGCACUUUUGCUAUUACCUUGCAAGCUUAAGUAUAUAUAAUACGCACGUAUAAAAAAAAAGUUGGGGCCGUAUAUGGUAGCAUCAUUUGUACACCCUCAGGACUGCCCCUGAUUUCGACUAUUAUAGCCGAUUGAUUAUAUGUACGUUAUCUGCCACAUAAUUUGAUCAAUUAAUAUGAUUCGUCUAAAAUUAUUUUUAAUUUUUUGGUCAAGCGUCUACAAUAUUUAAGUUUGCAGAAGAAAUUGUAGAGUAGGGGUUGAAGUUGGGGUUGCAAAUUUAGUUUUCAUUUUGUACAUUUUAAUUCUCCACCCAUAUACCAAUUGUGUUGGAGGUUGACAUUCUAAUACUCUCUUCAUCACAUAUAUUAUAUUCCUUUUCCCUUUAUCCAUCUUAAACUAAGAUAAAAACGUUACCAAACAGCCUACAAAACAUUUGUGUGAUUAAUAUUAACCACUCCCUAAAGCACCACAUCCCGACUUAAUCUCAUGUUAAAUUUCAUAAUUAAUUCCAAUUGCCUGUGUUACAGAGGUAGGACAAAGGACAAUGAUACAUCUUGUUAGGGCAAAAUCAUCUUCAUAAUAUACAUUGGCAAACCCUUUAGCCUUUUAGCAUAUAUGGAAAUUUUGGUGCAGCAAGCAAAGCACCACAUGCUUGGUAGCAUUUAGGCAAAAUGUCAAAACAUGCAUGCAUGCGUUGCGUGGUGGUGAAGCCAUCGUUUUCGUAUGGGAAGAAUCGAUCGAUCCAAAACUUCCAAGUUGGUACUAAUUUAUUGUAGUUUUCUCUAAUAUAAUAUGUACUAUGGAUAAUGGGUCGUAUUGGAGGGUCGAUACUCAAUUUGCUAAGUAGGAGAUAUAUUAUUCAUCUUCUUUUCUCACUUUGCUUUGCUCCUUUAAGGCAUUCUUUGUCUCCAUGCAACAAGAACAAGCACGCAAACGUACAAAUUUAAUGUGUACAUAAUACAAUCCUCUAAGAUAUGAACUUUUGCUAGCUAGGUUAGAUGCAUGUCAUAUUCGAAAUCAAGUGACAUAACCCACACAACCAUUCUGAAACCUGGGAGUGUGUGUGUAGGCCACGUACCAAUCAACAAUAAGUUGGCUCGGGUUGGACUGGGUUUGGAAUUGAUUCCAAGCUACUUAUAAUCCUCAUCUCUCUAUAUGAGACUUGUAAGACACGAUAUGUUGAAUUGCUCUCUAAUAUAAUAAUAAGUUCAAUCUUAACAUGCAUAAGUUCAUCAAACAAUCAUCAUGAUAUUAUUGUCUAAUUUAAUUGAAAUAAUCAGUACAUUCUGAACUACCAAACAUGUCAAAUGGAAUAGCAUUAGAGCUCCAAUAGCCUCCAAACCAACUGCGAGUCAGUAAGCCGACUUGAUAUUUUAAGGUUGGUUAUAUUUUAUUCAUGCGAUUAAUUCAAACUCAUGAGUCUUCUAACUAAAUAAUGUCAGAUUUGUUUUUGAGCUUGCCCUUUUUAUACUCUGUAUAUCUAAUAUAUAGAGCAAAAAGUAAAAAAUGGUAAAACAUUCAAAAUAUCAUAAAAUGUCCUUGGUUAAUGCAAACAUUAAUUAAGAAUUGAAAUUAUUAAUUAAAUGAGGAUAAUAUGAUAAAUUCACACUUUUUCAUACUAAAAAAAUUAAAAUUAAAAGAAAAAUCAAAUAAUGAAUCCUAUUUUUAUGGAACACAACUAUUUAAAAAAGCCUCUCACAGACGCGGAAGCGUGUGCGUAGAGAGUAAUCAUUAGAAUAAGAAUGGAAUCAAGUAUAGGGUCGAUUGGGUGUUUGAUUGAAAAUGGAAAUGAUCAAGUUUGGUAGAAAUUGAGGUCCAUGGUUGUAAGAAUGCAACGAACAUAUUUCUAACUUGUAAGAAUGAUCUUUCCCCAAAAUUAAUGCUCGUCCAUUCCAAUAAAGUAGACCUCUUAAGAAUAGCAUAUUUUCCCAAAUCUUAAACUAAUUAUAAGGUUCCAGGGAUAACCUCUCUAUUCCCGAAUUUCUGAAGAAUAACUUAUAUUUGCAGACGUGAAUUAGGCUAAUUACUCAAGAUAAUGAACUUGUCCCUUUACAACCAAGUUUGAAUCUCAUUCUCCGUAAAUUAGAUUAAUUUUCUGCUCUGACAUUAUUUUAAACCCAAAGUUUGGCAUUCCCAAUACAACUAUUCGUCAAUACACAGGAUCUCAAAUAGGUUUUUUUACUUCAACUCUCCACUCUCAAACAAUAUUAAAUCCACGAUAUUAAGUCUUUUGAUUGUGAAAUGCGAACAUAAAUAUCUCCUAUAGGAGUCCUUUGAUUGUGAGACUGGCAUGCCAUUCCAUUAAAAGUAAAGCAUACGAACCUCAAGCUCCAUUUCCCUUUAAAGCUAGGUAAGAAAAUGACCUAAUGAUUUUUCAAAGCUAGCUAGGAAGAUAGAAAAAGUAGCUGUAGAAGAAGAUAUGUGGAAAUCCAAAUGAGUCUAGGUAGACUAGACUGGCUGGUGAUUCGAAGAAAGGCAUGCUCCCUUUUGCUUUUGCUCUCUCCUCCAUGUCAAUGUCUACAUGAAUCACACUUGGACACAAAGGGGAUGGGCAGGCGAACCUCCAAAUAGGGUAGGAAUGAAUCUGUCAUUAGAUUUGGGAAAGAUAAAGGCCACUGCGGUACGGCACUCAGCCCAUCCCUCUCUCCACCUUUGGAUUUUCAUGUGUAAUUCUUUAGGAUGGAAUUUUGAUCCACUUUCCACGUACGACUCUGACCUCCCACUUGUGACACGUUUCACUUCCAACAAGUAAUUUACCAAAUGCCCAUGAAUUGAUUGAUUUGGGAUCUUUUGUGUUUAGGUUUAUGUAUUGUUAAUUAUUGCCUAGUUUCAAUCUUAAACGUUUAUUUAAGUGAGUUAGGAAGUUGUUUAGGGCAGUGAAUCCGUCCUUAUGUAUUUGUAUUUGUAAUUGUACUUAUAUGUAUUCAAAAUACGGAGUUUCAGUCUUAAACUUUUAUUUAAACAAGCAUAAUAUUAAACCCUAAUUCUAAUACGAAACAUCUAUAUUGUUAUUGUGUUUAUCCAAAACUACGUAUACAUGUCUAAUUUUAAAAUUUUAUUUAGAUAUACACAAUACUAAACCCUAAACUGUAAUUUUACAUCCGAAAAUAUUCGCUAUGAACACAUACAAGUAGCAAAAGAACACACAUGCAUAAGUAGAAAAUCUUUCCAAUAUCCAUUUUCAAAGUAUUUGACUAAACAUAUACUAUACCAUUCAAAGAGAAUAGCUUAGCGGGGGCAUCUCAUGGUCAACAAUAUAUUAUGGAUAGAGAAUAUGUCUUCAUCUAAUCUUUGUUGAUAUGUCAUGAUUGAGUCAUAUAGCUCAUGGGUAUUUGAUAUUUCACAGAGAGUCUCUCCUCGUUCGACCGAGGUUACUUUCUUGUCAUUUUCACAGCACUACGAGGCAGCUAAAUACAAACGCAUCCAUAUCUAUCCACAUGCAGCUUUUGUUUUGGCUCACAAUGAAACGGUACAAAGUGGAUGCAUUUUUGUUAACAUCACUUUAUCUUUCUCUAAGAGAUCGUCAUCUGCAUAAUCUACAGAAACAAUUAAAGUGCCCCGGAUUGAGACGGAUGGGACGACUGUUUCUCUUAUUUAAGACAAUGUGGUGAACCAGGAUUUGCUUGCUAGCUUUUUCCCUUCUUCUUCUUUUGUUUUUUUUAUAUCCCUCUGGAAAAGAUAAAGAUUCAUUCACAGGCAUAUCUUUUGUACAACAAUCAUAAGCCACGUGUAAACCCAACAAACACGUGCUUCACAUCAAUCAAUAUGUGAUGUUCAUGUGUUAGGCUUAAAAUAUUGUGUCAACCAUGUUAUACUCACCACAAUUUGAAUAUAUGACUUUUAUAUUUUUCACAAUACGGAUAAUAUAAUAUUUUAGCCAUUAGAUCGAUGGGUUCACUAUGUUCUCUCUUCGCUUAUACAUCCAUCAUAGUCGUUCUUUCACGUUCAAUGAGAAUUCGCACUGUUGAUGAGUCUCUCGAGUGAAGAAACACUUACAUAAAACAGUGAUAGCACUAUUUUGCUAUCCCUAACCAAUCAGUAUGCCACGCGUGAUAACUUUUUCACAUAACAAACUGUGAUUGACCGGAAAUAACAAAAUAAUGUAAUCUCCGUUUCAUUCAAGUUUUUCUAUCUCUAGUGACAUCCUUCUAUUAGAUCCACUCACAUAUAGCUAGGGACGGAGCCAUAUUUCAAUCCGAAAUGGCCGUGCCAGCUCUUGGUCGUUUCAACUGUAAAUACAAUUCCUACUCAAUAAAUGAAAGCUAGUUCCGCCACUACCAUUACCUAUUUCAUAAAAAUCAGGAUAGAAAUCAUAGAAAGUAAUACUAUAGCGUGCCCCAAAUAACUUGUGACGUCCAAUCUCAUGGCUGGUAGUCAAAGACCUCAUAAAAUCCGAAAGACGAGAAGAACCCACUGACAUAGAAUCAAAAGCUUCUGCCAUUACAUUAACUUCCACUUUUUCUCAUGGCCGGCGCAUUUGAUCCUCAAAGGCUCAAAGCUAUGGCUGAAAUUAAAUAGGCCAGAACUUUGUGAGGAAGCGUGGUAGAGUUUUGCUGAGAUAGGAGAGACGAAAUCAAAACAAUUGAAGAAUCAAAUUCCCACAACUCACAAGGCGUUUUUGGAAUUUUCCCAGAAAACAAACGGAAAACCAGAUUGCAAUUUUGCUCCCAGAUAUCCAGAAUGAUGCCCCCAUAUCCACCUAGAUUUGGCCAAACAGUGUGGCAAAGCUGACCCGUCACCUUUGGCCUAUCAUGCCACUUUUGGAACAUACGGCGGAUAAUGAACUGAGAAAUCAAUUGCGUUGGUACUACUACUGCCUAACCCAUGACCCUAUGCCUACGUCAAUUAUAUUAAUAAAUAUAUAAUUGGAUUUGCUUAUAUAUAUUAUAAAUAAAUACUUCGGAUUUUUCCGCCAUGCAUUAAGUGUUUUUCAUGAAUUAUCAUAUGUUGGAAAAGAAAAGUUGUUGUAUGACAGAAAUUUUCAUCCCUGAAAUCAUCUAUUAAUAUGUGGAGUGUCCAACACAACACCCUUUCGGGUGGUGAGAUUUUGUAAAAAGAAUUGAAUGUGAUUGAAGACGAGUCAUAUUCAAAGCGAAAUAAUUAUAGUAUAAUUUAUAGGUGAAUUUCGCAUUAUAAGAUGUUUAUGUUAUCAGAUAGUUGUUACGAGUGAAUUUGAACCACUAAUUUUAGUUAUAAAUAUAGACCAUUGGAUCCCAACUAUAAAAUAUUUAUGUUAUCAGAUAAUUAUUAUUAUUUUUUAAAUAAGAGCGGCAAUAUUUUAUUGAUGAUAGGAAAAUAACAGGUACAAAAUAAAUAAGUUAUAGCUUAGAGGAUUAGGCGAGCCUCUUUACACAUACGGGCUUGACUGUCGGACUAACUAAGUAUCCUUAUCCUCUCAACAAUAAGCAAACCACAAGUAGGAAAAAGGAGCCGUACCACUGAUAGAGCGCCAUCUGGCCCUCCUAAGUUUAUACUCGUAAAAACCCUAUUUGUUACAAUCCUCAAACAAAAUAUUUGUAAGAAAAUCUGGUAGCUCUUCAAACCAUAUAAAAACAAUACCAAUAUUCCUAGAAAAAGAUGUAAGUCUAUCAACCACUCCAUUUGUAGUACGGCAGAUGUGUAAAAACUUCCCAAAUGAUCUGUGUUACCAUAUAUAUAUAAUUGUUACGAGUGAAUAAUUUGACCACUGAUUUUAGCUAUAAAUAUGUACCAUUGGAUUCCUUUGACACUCCUAUUAUAGUUGGGUUGGAGGAGGAUUGUAGCCCAAGGUUGAGGUUUAAGGCCAAUGACUUUGGCCUGGUUCAACAACAUUGAAAAUCCUAAUUUAAUGUGGAAAGACAUCAACAAAAUCAAUCACACUCAAACCUAAUUUUGUGGUGUUGGCUUGUAUUAUCACCACCAUUGUCAACUUUUGUCAAUAAUGCAAAUAAUAAAAAGGCAAUUGCUACAUGUGGUUGUCACAUUAAUUCCAAUGGCUUAUUAAUAAGCUGUCCCUAACCUUUAAUUCCGACAAUGUAACUGUAAACCAAUUUUCGUUUAUUUAGUUUGUGGUUUCAAUUAAGCAGAUGGUCACUUGGCAAUUGGCAUGGUCCAAAAAUGUAUGUAUAAUUUUCAGACAUUGCUUGAUUUUUUUAGGGUCUUGUCUCAAUCUCAUUUAUCUGAUGCCACUAUUUCUUGCCCAUUGACAUGAACUACUCUAUGCAAGUUGGGUUUAUUGGUUGAAAAUCUCAACUAUCGAUUGGUAGUGUCCUCCAGUUUUUGUGGGGCAAAGCCAAAUCCACAGAAAUAAAUAUAUAGGUACUCUUGAAUUAAUGCUCUCCUUGAAGAUUAUGACAUGCGUAAUAUGUUUAAUAUAUUCUUAGUUUAAUUUAAGAAAAGACGAAUUUCUAAGUGUCCUGAUCAAUUGGGAACCUGACUUUGAAAACCAAAACAAAAAAAAUCUGAAUUUUUUUUACUACAAACAAUAAUCUAAGCUAUAGGGAAUGAGUUAACUAUAAUUGUUGUGAUGCUGCGGCUACAUUUAGAUGAGGGCCGUAUAAAUAAGAAUAGUAUGACAUGAAUUAGCAUAUCUUUAGAAUGAAAAUAUGUAAUGUAGAGAAAGUGCAAAUAGCAGAAACGGUGGUACAUUCCUCCGGCGGCUCAUGAAACCUACAACCAACAAAGCCAUCACAAAACAAAGUUUUAGCAACAUAUAUUAUGACUACUUUCGUAGCAACUGAGCUAUAUUUUGAAUCUAAAUUGAGUCAUGAUUGUGUACGAAUGCCAUAUGAUUUCACAAUUGCACUGAUUUAAGAUAUUGGGGGAAAUUAAUAUAUUGAAGGAGCUUUAGUUAAACCCUAUUUAUACAUUAUGGCAGGCCAGUAGGCCCACCGUCUCUGAUUCGUAAGCGUUAUUUUGAUUUAUACUAGCAUCAGGGACGGACCUGCAGAGUGUACAAAUUGGGCUAUAGCCCAAUCAAGUGUUUUUCUUUUGUUAUUGUUAGUGUAAAAGACAUAUACUAAAUAAGCUGCAAUAUGAGUUGUGCGUUGUCGACCAAUGUUAAUUUUAAGCAUAUAUAAUCAAUUGUUGUUGACAUUGUUGAUAUAAAAUUGGACUCUUUAAAUAAAUAAAAUACCUAAAAUCUAGCUCACCCCAUUUUGAAAUCCUAAGUCCGUCCCUAACUAGCAUAAAUUGUUCCAAGCAUAUUUUGAUUCUACUCGUCACUUUGUGUAUAGAAAUUGGGCAUCCCUUGUUAAUUCUUUGACAGAAAAGAAUGUUGUAAAGCAGGAUUAAUAUCACGCCUGUAAGUAACUAUGGUAUCAUAACAUCAUAUUUGAUUUCCAAUUUUAUCUACCGUCCACACAUCAGUUGCCACAUAAGGUGGUCAGUUAAGGUGGUCAAUAUUGUGUGUCUAAAUAGCAUUACUCAAAUGUUAUUUAUGUUUCUGAAAAUAUAUUAUUUAUGUAUCAGGCUUGUCUUUCUUACGUAUGGAAACUAACUGGUUGAGAUGUAAUCAUGAUUUAGGAUACGGAAAAUGAGUUGCAGAAGAAUUUAUAAUUUAUAAUUUAGAGAUGAAAUUCCUGACUUACUAGAGUUAAUUUAUGUUUGAAGGUUGUGCGUCAUGUAUUGAUUGGUCCAUGAAUAAUAUAUAUUUGGAUAUGUGUAGAGUUAUAUGUGUUUGCAUAUGUGCAAAUUUUGGCAGGCCUGAGUCUGCCCAACCCAAAAGUCAAAUCAAUAUCCUUACCCAACCCAAAAUUCAGAUCAAGAUACUUGCCCAGCCCAGAGGAACAAACCAAACCCAGAAAACAAACACAUGAAAAGCCCUAAACAAGAAAGCCCGACCAGAAGAAAAGAGUACCCAGGGAUUUCUAGAUUGUCACUCUAUUGACUUUGAUAUUGGCUGAACUAGAAAUCUUGUGAUGGAAUGUUAACUUUAAGGGUUAGUUAAGGCCAUAAUUUACACAAUUGAUUGACUCAUUCAAUAAAAAAAAUCACACACAAAACUUAGGAAGUUUAGGAGUGUAUACUAUUUGUAGUUUACUCUGUGUGUUUAGCAAGUGUCAGAAUUAUGUUAUGAACUUGACAAACUAAGUUUGAUUGGCAUUGCAAUACUACAUAUAUAUAUAUAUAUAUAUUAUGUGCAAUAUUACAUAAAUAUUUGUAAACAAUGCCCAUUAUAUCUUCAUCAAUGAAAACGCCUCUUUUCUAUACUUAUUUGACCAAAAUUUUAGAAGGCACUAUAACUAAUAAGCUUUAAAAAUAAUCAAACCUAAUUACCAUCAGUAGUAGGUUGUCAACCAUUUGACUAUGAUUCAAUCAUUCCAUAAAUAAAUGCAUUUUGACAGGCAAGCAUCCUCCAGUAUCUUAAGAGCAUUUCUACUUAUUUGUCAUGGCAAAGGAUAAAGGGAUGCGAUGGUCGAUACUAUUUACGUGAAUAGUGAUAGCCCUCGCAAAAAGUAAGGUGUAUUUCCACUCAUUGCCAUGACAAAAGGCAAAUACUAUUCACUUUUCGUUUUUUUUUUUUGUACCUAAAUAAUUAAUUUGGAGAAGAUUUUCGGUUCCCACGUGUCAAUAUUUAUUUUAAAAUUCAUAUAUCAUAAUUCGAAUGAAGUUUUCAGAUAAGAUUUUCGAAUAAGAUUCAAAUUUCAAAUUUCAGAUAAGAUUUUCAUCCUCUAAAAAUGGCGUCACGUGUCAUCUCAAUCUUCUAAAUCUAUCUAUAAAACCAGAGGUUCAGCUCAUACCUCUCACACCAGAUCUUCUCUAUCUUUUCAUUUCUCAGUUUUUAGAUUUCAUACUCCACUCUCAAUAUCAGACAUGAGGAGAGGCAAGAACAAGAAAUUAAAGAAAGAAGGCGUAGACGAGCUGAAAAAAAAAAAGGGUGCAGCAAGAAGAAGAUGAACAAGUUGCCAUAACUGUGGGUUUGCUCAAUCUAGAAAGCCAAAACCGCCGUCGUGGUUCACAAGUCGGCUUUGGCCCUAACGUGGACAGACAUAGGCAUUCUCGGGGUAAGAAUCUUUUGGAAGAUUACUUUAUCCCAAAUUUUGUGUACUCUAAUGUUAAUUUUCGAGGACGAUAUAGAAUGCAACCCCAUUUGUUCAAUAAAGUCAUGCAUGAUGUUUGUAAUUACGAUGCAUACUUUGUUUAGAGGUGUAAUGCUGCUGGAGUAUUGGGGCUUCUUCUGGAGCAAAAGCUUAUAGCUGUUAUAUAAAUUCUAGCAUAUGAUUCAUCUACUGAUCAGAUGAAUGAGAUUGCUAUAAUGGGAAAGUCCACUAUUCUAGAGAACUUGGCCAAAUUUUGUGAUGCAUGCCAAAUCAGCCUGAUCUAAUUUCAAAAAAGUGGAAUUUGUAAGUGUCCUCAAUUCAGAAUCCCACUUUGAGUUUUAAAUAAUAAAAAAUCUGCAAUGUUAAAUUAACUAUAAUUGUUGUUGGUAUUCUAAUGGUACCAACUUCAAAUAUCUCCUCUAAAUAAGUAAAUUAAUAUCAACAUCGCAUUUAAUUACUUUCUUGUGGUGUUGCGGUUACAAUUAUAUGAGGGUAAUAUAAAUAAGAAUAGUAUGACAUGAAUUAUCACAUCUUUAGAAUGAAAAUAUGCAGUUUAUGGAAGAAAAAAAAAAAGCCCAACCUUAUAGAAGAAAAAUGAAACAUGCAAUCACUAUCCAUCCAUUAGCACAUAAAAAGUGUAGAGAAAGGUACUUUUAAGGUUCAAAUAGCAGAAACGGUAGUGGUACAUUCCAUCAUUAACAUCUGAAUAAACUCUGUGGCCCAUCAUUCAUACCAAAUAUGAACAAUCCCAUUUGCCCAGUUGCAUCUCUACUAUGAACAAAGCCAUCGGCACAGACUUUUAUCGACGGAUCUUUUUAGCAACUGAGCUAUCUAGAGUAUCCAUUGCCAUUGGUAUCAACUGAAAAAACAAAUACUUUGGAUCUAAAUAAUUAAGUUAUGAUACACUACGAAUGGCACCUUAAUUGCACAAUUGAAUGGAUUGAAGAUAUUGGCGAAAACUAAUAUAUUAAAGGGGAUCCAAUUAAACUCAAUUUACAGCCAAAGUAGACAUUAAGGGUAGCUUAGUGCGGUGUAAGACACUGAUCCGUGAUUCAUCUAUACAAAAAAUUUAGCGAUCCAGCAACAUGCAUCAUGCUCAAGCGAUCCAGGAGCAUGUAUUGGUCCAAAUGGACCAUUAAACUACAAAGCCCAUACCUCCUUGACAUGAUCUCAUAUCUAAAGAUGGGUUAUAGGGAAGAAACAGCAGAAGCAAACAAGUAGACAACCAAGAAAAUUCUAGGGAAAUAGGAGGAUUUUAGGGGGAGGGGGCUAAUCAGAUGUGGAGGAGAUCUGGGCAUACACCUGGAAAAUGAUGAGAAGAAGGGCAAACCAAAACAAACAGAAAAAAGAGAAAGAAAAGCCACACCAAAGGGUGGCAGAGAAGCCACACAAGAGGUGGCGGAGGUGCCCCCGAAGGGAGGAGGCACAGCCACCAGCUGCUCAAAAAAAGACGGUGGGGAAGAAGAGAAGUUCUAGAAAGAAAGGGGAGCCCCUCUCUCUAAAGCUCUCUCGGAUUAACUUCAUCUAUUGAUGGAUGAUAACUCUUCUUCUUGCUCAUCUGAUUAGCCAACUCACGUAUCUUGUUUGGCCUCCAAUUCUCAUGUUUUGGUUCUUUAGGAGUUCUUCAAAAUACUGGAAGGAAAAUUGCGAUUGUGGCUACUGCGUGUAUUUUGAAAUUCAGUUGUUUUCAAAUACGCAAAUAAAGAUAAACACAUGUAAAUAGGAGUCUGUUAUCAUCUAUACAACUGUGUAAUCUAUAAAUAUUUGUAAUCUGUAAAUGUUUAUAAAUACAGACUCUCCGUCAAAGUCAAAGUGAUGGAUCAUUCAGCCAAACCUACUUUCCUGUGUGAAUUAAAGUUUUUACAAAUUUAUAAUUAGUUGUUGCGCUUAUACGAGUUUAGGCUGUAGGAGACUAUCAAAUACAAUUCUAUUGGACUCAUUGUUCUAGAGUCGUAAACCCAAUUGAAUAUAUUUUAUAAAAAGAAAAAGUCACAUCUGAUUUCAUAAGUGUACCCACUACGGCUGGGCUUGGUUUGGUAACCGAACCGAAUGGCCUUUACUGAGUACUGACUGAUGGCGGUCGGAAGGUACCAAAUGGGAAUCGCCGCCGACGGACAGCUAUUCUGUAGAACACCAACAGCAGGAAGAAGAAUAUCAUAUAUAAAUCUUGGCAGGCCUUGGUCUGGCCAACCCAAAAGUCAUAUCAAUAUACUUAGGAGAGAAUGUGUGUACUUGGUUAUUUUAUUUGUUAAAGGAUACUACUUGCUCAUUUCUUAUAUAACAAAACUCCAAAUGCAUGAAUUAGCAACUGGCAUUUUGCGGAAGACCUAAAAAAGAUCAAAUCUAUGCCAAGGGAAACACUAAUAGAGAAGAAAAAUGCGUUGCGUCAUGGAGAAGGGCAUAAAGUUUACUGUGUAUAGCAAAUGUCAGAAUUAUGAACUUGGCAACCUAAGUUUGAUUGGCAUUGCAAUAUUACAUAAACAUUUGUAUAGAUCCCUAAAAUAAAGCAAUGUAAAGUGUUAAGGGUCAGCUUAAAUCUGCAUUGAACCCUCCGAAUCGCCGUUCCGUUCGAAUUAAUCUUCCCCUUCUUCCCUCUCUCUAGGGACAGCUCCAAAGUGCUUUACCAAAAUGUCAACAACCAAAGGCACCAAGUCCUUGCAAGGGACACUCUUUUUAUAAACAUCUCCCAAAUGUGAGUCACUUCCUAUCCUCCCUCCCAAGAAAACAUCAGCCCCUUCACAAGGCUUCCCAUUCUCAUCCCUUGCCAUGCAUCCCAUGAAACCAAUAUCCGCCACUUGCACCUGCGCGCAGGUGUUUGGGCACCCGGUCCAAUGCAUCCUCACCGGUCGGGUCACUGCCACGUGUCUCUCCACCUCCUCUGUCACCUUCAAGGCCCUGGCCUUGGUCUCAAUGAUGGCUUGUCCACAGAACUGGUUGCCAGUGCAGGCCACCAAUCCUCUCAUGAGAAUUGAAGGUUCAGGUGAAAAUCUGUUUUUCAGAAGAGGCUCUUUAAGCAAUGCUUCAAGUUUUGAGUUCUCAACAUUUGGGAUUAUUAUGUUUUGCUCCACAGUGAGCCGGAGUUCCCCUGUGCCAUACUUGUCAGCUACGUGAGCUAGCUCAUCCAUGUCAUCUGCUUGGAGCCGGCCGACUGGAAUGUGAAGUCCCACGUAGCUUAGACCUUCUUGUUUUUGUGGAUGGACACCUACGUAGUCUCUCCUUUCCCAUUGCUUCUGAACCAGGUCUUCAGAAGAUGCUCUCUCCAGCUCUUGAAAAGGCAUCCUUUUUGCAACCUCUGCCCUGAAUCCUUCUAUGCCCUGCAUUCAUAUAAUUUUCAACAAAAUGUCAGGCAAAUACCAUCAAGAAGUUAACAAUUCAAUGCUCAUUCAAAUAAUGUAGAACAUGUUUUAAAUGGUGGUGAAAUUUUUUAGAAGCAUUUCUCCUUAAGAAGAUUGAAACAUGACAUAAUAAAUUCAGUAAUAACUUUGAAGAUCACACAUAUUACGGCAUAUUGAAACUAGAUCUAUAUAGUUGGGACAAUGGUUACUUACUAGUUCAUCAAUCAACCACAUCAUUCUCGUCUUCUGUCGGUUCCCUCUGGUGCCAAGGUCUCUAUAGGCCUCUAGCACUGCUUUGCAAAGUGGGAUCACAUCAUCUGCGGAGACCCAGGCAUCAAGAGGAACUGCCUCUGCACACCGUUUAGGACUAAAGAAGCCUCCCACAAGCAAAUUGAAUCCAAAUCUUCCGUCCUUUGUUGCAGGCAUGUAAGCGAGAUCGUUGAUGUGGGGAUGCUCAAAAAGAUCAUGAGAUCCCACCACACACACAUUCCACUUUCUUGGCCUGCUCAGAUGAAAACUAAACUUAAGAAUCCAAGCAACUCAUUCCAUUCAUGCUUUGACCCAAAAAAAAUUCCAUUCAUGCUUAAUUUUAGUAAAGUAUUUCUCCUAUCUGAACUAACCAAAUAAUGAAACAGUGCUCCAUGUUCAGCCGCUUAAACCAUGACUUUAUGAAAUUAAACCCCUAAUUAUGUACAAAUAACAGAAAAGUACAUUCAACAUAUGGGGAAGGGAGCUAAAACACUUACAAGUUUGUGACAGUAGGAUUGCCAAGUGAAUUGGCAGUGAUAUAUUGGGACAGCAAGUUUGUGUAAGGUCGUGUAUCAACAAUCUCUUCGGGGUCGAUUCCGGCGAGAGGAUUUCCAACUGGGUUUCUCACAUUGUCCAUGCCACUCUGCAGACUUGUCAAGCCAACCUUAGCGAGACCUUUUAGAAUUUCUGGCACAUCAGGCAGUACCACUCCCCGGAUUUGCCAAUUUUGCCUGGUUGUAACAUCCGCACAACCAUCCUCACCAUAUUUUCUUAUCACGCUCGCUAGAUAUUUUGUUUGUGCACUUGUUGUAACUCCAUUUGGUAGCUUCAGUCUCAUCAUAAAUCUACCAUCUGAUCAUCAUCACCACCAGUAUUAAUUAACCAAUAAGAACAUACUGAAAAAGUAAGAUGCUUGUUGCAUUUAAGAUAAAAAUGCCAAUAUAGAAAGAAAAGUCAAACAAUCCAACAGGCUAUGCUGUCGGACUGUUAAUUCGGAAAAUUAGUUAAAUUCCUGUUCAAAUGUCUAAUCUUUAUUGAUAAUCUGAAAAGAUAAAAUGUCUAGAAUAUCUAACAAGAAAACAUUACCCUAUGUAAGAAUAUUCGAAAUAUGUGCAAAAUUUAACAAAGCAAACAAGUAUAGAUCAAAUUAACUCACAAUGAUUCUUUCUCCUGUGGAAAAGGCCAAGCCACUUGAGCCUGCCAUCAAUAUCAUCCUUACUAUCCUUAGACUUCUCAAGCUCCUCAAAAGAAGUCUUGGCAAGCUCUUCAAUCCCAUUUUCCAUGAAAAGCUUCAUGGGUUCCUUCUGAAUCUUCACCUUCUCCUGAACAUUAAUCCCUCCUCUAAACUUCUCUUUCAAAACCCAAUACCCAUCUCUCUCCUCCACUCUAGGCUCCAACCUGGCAGCCUCCACAUUCUUGGAAACCGGCGCCAGGGGGGUGGUGGCGGCUGCUAGCCUCGUCUGCUUGCAGCAGGGGAGAGCUGAAGACAGGGGAGGAGAAAGAAACUGAACAGAUAGUGAUGAUGACAUGGCUGGUCAGAGUAUGCUGCUGGUGCGGAUGAUUGCAAAGAGCUCCAAAUUUUGAUGGCGUUGUUGAAGUAGGAAUUGAAAGAGAGAAGAGGGCUUGCAUUUUUGUAGGUGAGCUUAGCGGUGAGGACCUUAGGAGGAGGGAGACGUUCAUUUUUGGUUGUGACGGAGGGGCUUUUGGCUUUUGGCUUUUGGCUGGAGCCAAGGGUCGUCGUAUUUUGUCUUGGAGAGGAAAUGGGGGGACUGGUGACGGUUAUAUUGUAUAUACCAUUGUAUAUCCCUUUCCUCCAAAGUUUUUAUUUGUUGUUUGCCUUUGUUUUUUCAUGCAUUUGGGUUACGGUGGCCCCUGUCCACCAUGUGCCACGUUUCGGAGAUGUGUUUUGUAGACAAGUUGUCCAACUUGAUUUUUUAUAUAUUUUUUCAAAAAAUAGAAAAUAAGACUACAAGCGAUAGUUAAACUAUAAGGGAUACAAUUCUCCAUCAUCCCGAUCUCUCUUUUAUUAGCCAAAAAAUAAAAAAAACUAUAAUAAUUAAAUUUCAUUUAUUUAUAAUCAGAUUGACAGAAUUGAAACAUUUGAUCUAAUUUGUUAACAUCUGCAAACAGAGUUACUAAAAUCGAAAAAAUAAAAUUUCGGUCAUCAAAAUUAAAUUUGAUCCCACUGUAGUGAUAAAAAAAUGUAAUUAUCCCUAUAUUUCAGCUCUUUUAACUCAGUUUUUCGCUGACCACAGACUUGAACUUGAUGUUCUGGUUUUUUACUAGACUGUUUUGUUUUUCACCUCGUUUAAGUUAUUGAACUGUCGGCCCAGCCCAUCAAAGACUCAGUCCCAAAAACCUACUCUCUCUCUCUCUCCCAAAAGCAUACUCUUGCUACUCUUUCUUCAACUGCUGUUGUUCAGAGCAGCGAAGCCAUGUCAACGAUCAAGGAGAUCCUUACCCGACGACCCGUGAUGGCGACGAUCCGGGUCACAGUCCCGGCCGGCGCGGCCAGACCCAGCCAGCAACUGAGCCCUGCUUUGGGUCAAUACAGGCUGAACAUGAUGGCCUUCUGCAAG
rnacentral:lncRNA from 1 species